GGGUUGUGAGGUUAAGCGACUAAGCGUACACGGUGGAUGCCCUGGCAGUCAGAGGCGAUGAAGGACGUGCUAAUCUGCGAUAAGCGUCGGUAAGGUGAUAUGAACCGUUAUAACCGGCGAUUUCCGAAUGGGGAAACCCAGUGUGAUUCGUCACACUAUCAUUAACUGAAUCCAUAGGUUAAUGAGGCGAACCGGGGGAACUGAAACAUCUAAGUACCCCGAGGAAAAGAAAUCAACCGAGAUUCCCCCAGUAGCGGCGAGCGAACGGGGAGGAGCCCAGAGCCUGAAUCAGUGUGUGUGUUAGUGGAAGCGUUUGGAAAGGCGCGCGAUACAGGGUGACAGCCCCGUACACAAAAAUGCACAUGCUGUGAGCUCGAUGAGUAGGGCGGGACACGUGGUAU
rnacentral:rRNA from 1 species